GACAGAGGGGGCAAGCGUUGCUCGGAAUUACUGGGCGUAAAGGGCGCGUAGGCGGGAUGGCAAGUCGGUCGUGAAAUCCUUCGGCUCAACCGAAGAACGUCGAUCGAUACUGCUGUUCUUGAGGGUUGCAGAGGAGACUGGAAUUCCCGGUGUAGCGGUGAAAUGUGUAGAGAUCCGGAGGAACACCGAAGGCGAAGGCAGUGUCCUGGCGCGUAACUGACGCUGAGGUGCGAAAGCCAGGGGAGCGAACGGG
rnacentral:rRNA from 1 species